rnacentral:tRNA from 1 species
AGCCCCGUGGUCUAGCGGCCAAUCGUGACCGUAAUGCGGUCGACCUCGCGACGGCAGUUCGAAUCUGCCCGGGGCUA